rnacentral:lncRNA from 1 species
AACAAUUGUCCUUUUUUUAACAAAGUCCUUAGGACAAUACCAAAGUCUUACAAAAAGAGGAUAAAUUUCAAACAAUUUUAGGAUUCAAGUUGUUAAAAUAUGAAGAAAAUGAUCCUGCGCAUGAAUGUUAAAUAGAAGAGAAUGACAACAACGCAAUAGGAUAGCUUCUGCACGUAGUAGCUUGCAAUGCAAGUUAUUUAGUUAGGAUAUUUCCCUCCCUUUGUAAGUGACUUCAAGCUAGUAUACUCUACUUGCUAGCGUAGAUUUAUAUUUCUCUCCCUUUGUAAGUGACUUCAAGCUUUGAAUAAUAAUGAUAAUGAUUCAAUCAAUUCUCUCAUUACUCUGUCUAGUUAGUUUGAAUGCAGUGUGUAAGUAUGAAUUUAAUGUGAUAAAAAAUGUUACAAUUACACACCACUCCAAAAGGGGCAAGAGAACCCAAUAAAUCACCAAGGCCAAAUGAACCCAAAAACUACAGAUCAAAAGAGUAGCCACUACAAACAUUGGGCCAUAGCGCCACGCCAGCCACUAAUAGGAAAACUACAAAUACAGGAAAAACAAAACUGAUAGGCACAGAAGCUGCAUAGGCUACGCCAAAGCACACAGUAAUCCACAAAACCCUAACCAGAUCAUGAUAGGAUCUAAAAGCUAUCAAGCUAAGAAACUAUGGAAAACUACACUAUCACGAUGAAAAACAAUAAAAUUAUCUAAGAGAGUAAAAGAUAAACAUUCUUCAUUUUGGAGAUGUUGCUCAAGACUUUAUGUAGAAACUUUUCUGAUGGUUAGCAGUUUCAGCACCUCCAGUAAGGGAGGGGGAAGCUGCAGCCAUUAGGUGGGUAGCUAAGAUGGGAGUGUAGAUGGAAUAGUAGCAUUCAUGUCGUCAACUGUUUUACCUAUCUCUCUCUCUCUCCAUAAUUUUGGUGAAAAAUGCAGUUAUUUUGCUUCAUCCAUAUAGAGUCACUGUGAUA